rnacentral:rRNA from 1 species
ACGGGGGGUGCAAGCGUUGUUCGGAAUCAUUGGGCGUAAAGAGCGUGUAGGCGGCUUGUUAAGUCAGAUGUGAAAGCCCUGGGCUUAACUCUGGUAAGCCUUGUGAACUGGAAGACUUGAGUGCAGGAGAGGAAAGUGGAAUUCCUAGUGUAGCGGUGAAAUGCGUAGAUAUUAGGAGGAACACCAGUGGCGAAGGCGACUUUCUGGACUGUAACUGACACUGAGGCGCGAAAGCGUGGGGAGCAAACAG